rnacentral:rRNA from 2 species
GGGUUGUGAGGUUAAGCGACUAAGCGUACACGGUGGAUGCCCUGGCAGUCAGAGGCGAUGAAGGGCGUGCUAAUCUGCGAUAAGCGCCGGUAAGGUGAUAUGAACCGUUAUAACCGGCGAUACCCGAAUGGGGAAACCCAGUGUGACUCGUCACACUAUCAUUAACUGAAUCCAUAGGUUAAUGAGGCGAACCGGGGGAACUGAAACAUCUAAGUACCCCGAGGAAAAGAAAUCAACCGAGAUUCCCCCAGUAGCGGCGAGCGAACGGGGAGGAGCCCAGAGCCUGAAUCAGCAUGUGUGUUAGUGGAAGCGUCUGGAAAGGCGCGCGAUACAGGGUGACAGCCCCGUACACAAAAGCGCAUGUGCUGUGAGCUCGAUGAGUAGGGCGGGACACGUGGUAUCCUGUCUGAAUAUGGGGGGACCAUCCUCCAAGGCUAAAUACUCCUGACUGACCGAUAGUGAACCAGUACCGUGAGGGAAAGGCGAAAAGAACCCCGGCGAGGGGAGUGAAAAAGAACCUGAAACCGUGUACGUACAAGCAGUGGGAGCCCCACCACCAAAGCAUUUGCUGUACCGCGUUGACGGAGCGAAGCGACGUCAAACCGAUAAAACAGCAGUGUAAAGUGAGCCGCAGGGCGCUUUGCGCGACAGCGCAAAGGCAGGCGGUUUCGCGUAGCGAAAGCGAAUGCUUUGGGGUGGGGUGACUGCGUACCUUUUGUAUAAUGGGUCAGCGACUUAUAUUCUGUAGCAAGGUUAACCGAAUAGGGGAGCCGGAGGGAAACCGAGUCUUAAUUGGGCGUUAAGUUGCAGGGUAUAGACCCGAAACCCGGUGAUCUAGCCAUGGGCAGGUUGAAGGUUGGGUAACACUAACUGGAGGACCGAACCGACUAAUGUUGAAAAAUUAGCGGAUGACCUGUGGCUGGGGGUGAAAGGCCAAUCAAACCGGGAGAUAGCUGGUUCUCCCCGAAAGCUAUUUAGGUAGCGCCUCGUGAAUUCAUCUCCGGGGGUAGAGCACUGUUUCGGCUAGGGGGCCAUCCCGGCUUACCAACCCGAUGCAAACUGCGAAUACCGGAGAAUGUUAUCACGGGAGACACACGGCGGGUGCUAACGUCCGUCGUGAAGAGGGAAACAACCCAGACCGCCAGCUAAGGUCCCAAAGUCAUGGUUAAGUGGGAAACGAUGUGGGAAGGCCCAGACAGCCAGGAUGUUGGCUUAGAAGCAGCCAUCAUUUAAAGAAAGCGUAAUAGCUCACUGGUCGAGUCGGCCUGCGCGGAAGAUGUAACGGGGCUAAACCAUGCACCGAAGCUGCGGCAGCGACGCUUAUGCGUUGUUGGGUAGGGGAGCGUUCUGUAAGCCUGCGAAGGUGGCCUGUGAGGGUUGCUGGAGGUAUCAGAAGUGCGAAUGCUGACAUAAGUAACGAUAAAGCGGGUGAAAAGCCCGCUCGCCGGAAGACCAAGGGUUCCUGUCCAACGUUAAUCGGGGCAGGGUGAGUCGACCCCUAAGGCGAGGCCGAAAGGCGUAGUCGAUGGGAAACGGGUUAAUAUUCCCGUACUUGGUGUUACUGCGAAGGGGGGACGGAGAAGGCUAUGUUGGCCGGGCGACGGUUGUCCCGGUUUAAGCGUGUAGGCUGGUUUUCCAGGCAAAUCCGGAAAAUCAAGGCUGAGGCGUGAUGACGAGGCACUACGGUGCUGAAGCAACAAAUGCCCUGCUUCCAGGAAAAGCCUCUAAGCAUCAGGUAACAUCAAAUCGUACCCCAAACCGACACAGGUGGUCAGGUAGAGAAUACCAAGGCGCUUGAGAGAACUCGGGUGAAGGAACUAGGCAAAAUGGUGCCGUAACUUCGGGAGAAGGCACGCUGACACGUAGGUGAAGUGAUUUACUCACGGAGCUGAAGUCAGUCGAAGAUACCAGCUGGCUGCAACUGUUUAUUAAAAACACAGCACUGUGCAAACACGAAAGUGGACGUAUACGGUGUGACGCCUGCCCGGUGCCGGAAGGUUAAUUGAUGGGGUCAGCGCAAGCGAAGCUCCUGAUCGAAGCCCCGGUAAACGGCGGCCGUAACUAUAACGGUCCUAAGGUAGCGAAAUUCCUUGUCGGGUAAGUUCCGACCUGCACGAAUGGCGUAAUGAUGGCCAGGCUGUCUCCACCCGAGACUCAGUGAAAUUGAACUCGCUGUGAAGAUGCAGUGUACCCGCGGCAAGACGGAAAGACCCCGUGAACCUUUACUAUAGCUUGACACUGAACAUUGAGCCUUGAUGUGUAG